UCCCUGGCGGCUCAGAUGGUAAAGUGUCUGCCUGCAAUGCGGGAGACCCAGGUUCGAUUCCUGGGUUGGGAA
rnacentral:tRNA from 1 species